UGACUUAGUGGUUAAGUGCUCAGCUGCUGACUGAAGGGUUGGUGGUUCAAACCCACC
rnacentral:tRNA from 1 species